CCUCCCCUCCUCGGCUUAUCCCCCCCCUGUCCCCCAGGGCAAGUCUGGACUUAGGAAUAGUCCAGUGAAACAGUCACUCCCGGCACCCAUAGGCAAGGAACUGGAAAGUUAAGGAAGUGCCCACCAACUGGGGAAUGACUGAACAAGUUACGGCAUAUGAAGGUGAUGGAAUACUAUUGUGCCAUAAGAAAUGAUAAAAGGUACUGUGUAAAUUGGCAAAGAUGACAAAAGGAAGUCAAUUUUGGAAGGACUGUGAGACAAUGUGCACCCUGAUGCACUGUUAGUGAAUUUGAGAAGUUGUCCUCUUCUGGAUUUCAAUAUAGAAUUAUCUCCUCCCCCCCAAAAAAAACUUGAUGAAAUUAUUCAUGCUCUAUGACCCAGCAAUACCACUUUUUGCUAUUUACCCCAAGGAAGUAAGAAACAUAAGCAAAAGUCUGAUGUAGACAAGAAUAUUUAGCACUGCAUCCUUUUGGGUGUAUAACAUUGAUUAGGAAAUGCUCCUCAAAACAAUGACAUAUGAAUUUAUGAAAUGAAUGGCAGAUUGUUAUGUAGUGUGCAAUGAAAAUAUGAAGAAUUCUGAGAAAUAUGGGAAAGUUUCAAUGAAUUAAUCCAAAGAGAAAUAAGCAGAAUGAAGAGAACCAUAUGUGCGUUGACUGUAAAUGAGAAGAUCAUUAAGGAAAGUUGAACUCUGAAUUAUGGAAAAACCAAUGAAGGUCUUGGUAAAAAAAAAAAAUGUUGGAGAAGC